UAUCCUUACCACCCGCACACCUGCGCCAGACUGCCAGCCUAAUAUAGAUGCCCUUGCUAGAUUUGUGUUGUGAGCGAUCUAUCAAGGGUUGUGAUCUGCUUUGUGUUUAUUGAUGCACCCUUUGCUUGCAGCAGCGUGCGUUGUUUGCGACGAAGAGACAUCAGCCAGAGAUUCCCUUGCUAAGCUUAUCCUCUUGAACCCCCCCUACUGCUUCUAUCUAUAGUAUCUGUUUUAACUGUUGGAUAAAAUAUUUCACAGUGGCAAGCUAAGUCAGCUCCCGUGGCUGAUAAAAGCAAUCCUGUGAACCCAGGUCUUCCAGAGCGGAAAGCGGCUAAUCCCUGAUAUACCCCCGAUAUGCAAAAUAAAAGAUUGACGGGACACAGUAAUAAGCAACUUUCCCGCGGCUACAAGUUAUCAAACCGGAAGCUCAAAUUUAAAAUAUCAUAAAUAGUGCAUUUAGCCAUCCUAAGAAGAUGUUAUAUGGCUAAAGGUAUGACAUCGGAGACCUAGGGAAGCGAUAUCACUUCCAUUCGAAACAUUUCCCCCUAUCCUUCGGACAUAUCCUGUACCAGUCUGGGAUCCCUUUGAAUCAUCCCCUCAUAGGAGGGAGGUGACAUCAAAUUGCCAGAGCCAGCCUUUGCAGAAGGAAUAAAAUAUCACGCAGCACGAUCUCUGCACACGAGCCACACUACGGGGAACAUGUUCGCUAAUCUACACUCUACAUUAUCAUGAUACUAUCGCUUGUCAAAACCAUGGUAUUUAAUUAAAACCCCCUGGAUCUCUGUACUCGCUCGCUGGCUGCUACGACUGUGUGAGGAACCCUUUAUUUAUCCACACACGAACUGGAAGAUCCAACCGCAUCUCCCCCCACAAAAGAAAAGAAAAGAAAAGAAAAAGAAAAAGAAAAAGAAAGAAAAGAAAACGUGGACUCCGGCGCCUGAUGGGAGGGGACUUGGUCCUAGAAGCGUCCCAUUUAUAACCCCAUUCAUUUUCUUACUGUGCACAAACCUAGAAAAUAUUAUGUUACUCUGAAUUGUAUCCGAUAAUACUCUUGCAUGCAAUGCUCCGUGGAUUCAAGAAAUGAACUGCCCCUUGCAUGCUCCCAAUCUCAGAUCACGGCUCCUAGAACAACGAAUUACAUGGAUUAAUGCAUGGGCGUAGCCUGUAUGCAAAGCUAGAUCUGCGAGCAUAGCAAUCACGACCUGGCGAUGCAUGCAUAUUUUCUAGGUUGCUUUUGCACUAAAUGCAACUGUAAGUAUUGUAAUUGGUGAUAGGAAAGGUACAGAGGGGACGGAAGACGUGGGAGUGUUCAAACCUAUGGGAAGGGGGGAAAAAAGAAGAAGAAAUAAAUUACAAAGGUUGAUAUAGAUAAAGGGACAUCAGUUUCUGAUCAUAAAGAAGCCAGUUGUCCAUUCUCUCACUGCUAUUGCUUGAUUGCAAAUAGCAUGAAAGAAGUUGCGGUGUAUCAACCCGCCUAUUAUUGAAUCGCGAACGUCACAAUCGAGCAGAAAUUUAUGGGAGAGGCUUGCGUGCCGAUGACCUCGGGAGUCUCUUGAAUUGAUGUGAUGGGCACAAACUAGC
rnacentral:sRNA from 1 species